rnacentral:rRNA from 1 species
GUGUCAGCCGCCGCGGUAAUACGGGGGGAGCAAGCGUUGUUCGGAUUUACUGGGCGUAAAGGGCGCGUAGGCGGCCACGACAAGUCACUUGUGAAAUCUCCGGGCUUAACUCGGAACGGUCAAGUGAUACUGUCGGGCUAGAGUGCAGAAGGGGCAACUGGAAUUCUCGGUGUAGCGGUGAAAUGCGUAGAUAUCGAGAGGAACACCUGCGGCGAAGGCGGGUUGCUGGGCUGACACUGACGCUGAGGCGCGAAAGCCAGGGGAGCGAACGGGAUUAGAUACCCUAGUAGUCC